rnacentral:pre_miRNA from 1 species
UAUAUACUCCCUCCGUCCCAAAAUUCUUGUCUUAAAUUUGUCUAAAUACGGAUGUAUCAAGUCAUGUUUUAGUAUUAGAUACAUCCGUAUCUAGACAAAUCUAAGACAAGAAUUUGGGGACGAGGGAGUACUUU